CUACAAAGGAUGCUAGGUGGGGUGGAGUGGGUGAUUGCUUAAUUACUGAGCACACAGUGAAAGGCAAAUCUGCAUUGCAGAGCCUGACAUGGCAGUGAGGUCAGCUUCAGCAGUGGGGCAGGCACAGAUUUACCUUGUGGAAAACAUCACUGGCCAGCACCAAUGUGGGCAGACUUUGGAGCACCUCUUGGUGCCCCAGUUAGCCAGACCAUCCUGGAAUCUCUGAUGUCCCAUGUCAAAAUCAACAUUCUCAGGAGGCAUCUGAGGGACACAAGGUACAAAACAAAUAAUGGAACUCAAGUAAAAUUUUAGAGCUUAUACAAGUGAUGCCAAUAAAGAUGUGGAACUCCG